GGGCAAGGGGCUCUAGUGCAGCUCGACUAGAGCCCUGUAAUGGUACUGAACCAGAACAUUGUGUUCGUGCUUUUG
rfam:BtRf-AlphaCoV/YN2012, complete genome.